rnacentral:miRNA from 1 species
CGUGUGUGUGUGUGUGUGUGUGUGUGUGUGUGUGCUGCAGGACCGUACUGCUGAUGAACCCCAGCGAGGUGCCUGCA